rnacentral:tRNA from 1 species
GGGGUUGUGGCUCAGAGGUAGAGCACUCGCCUAGCAUGUGUGAGGCACUGGGUUUGAUCCUCAGUACCACUU